rnacentral:lncRNA from 1 species
UGGGGUGUGCCAUCCUGGAGCCUAGCAGCCAUAGGAGAAUCAGAUGUGAACUUGUGGAGGCAGGCUCCAAUGGAGGCUCAGGAGAGGCAGGGGUGGGUGAACUGCUGGGUGAGGCAGGUGAGCUGGAUGUGCUCCCAGGUGGGGCUCGCAGCAGGAGUGUCACUGUGGUCACAUCCUGGCUGGUGCCUUCAGGGGUGGGGGUUGGCUUUGAAACCUCUGCCUGCUGUUCCUGUUCCUCUCGCUCUGGCACCUGUAAGGGACCCACAGGAUGCAACCAAGAGCUCCUGCCGCUGCAGUUCCCGGAUGGCUGAGCGGAUGCGCCGCCGCUCUGCCAGAUCUGCUGUGACCUCCAGCUGCCGGUUUCCGAAACUGCCCAGUGAAAUUCUCCCGGGAGGAAAGAGGGUGCUUCCUC